UACGUAGGGUGCAAGCGUUGUCCGGAAUUAUUGGGCGUAAAGAGCUCGUAGGCGGUCUGUUGCGUCGGCUGUGAAAACCCGAGGCUCAACCUCGGGCCUGCAGCCGAUACGGGCAGACUAGAGUUCGGCAGGGGAGACUGGAAUUCCUGGUGUAGCGGUGAAAUGCGCAGAUAUCGGGAGGAACACCAAUGGCGAAGGCAGCUCGCUGGGACGGUACUGACGCUGAGACGCGAAAGCGUGGGGAGCAAACAGG
rnacentral:rRNA from 1 species